CCUCCCUCGUUCCUUGCUGGUCAAUGCUGGGAGUUACCCAGCUGAGGGCCAGGCCUGGCCAGCAAAGCAGUUCGCUGCACUGUAUCUGUAGAGAGAGAAAAAAAAUUCAACUCAGGACACCCAUAGAAACUAGAGGAAGAUCCAUCCUACAGACCAUUUCAGGUGCUGAUAUCAUCAGUUUGGACAUGAUUUCGUCGAGUGCAUUUCCUGGUGCCACCAAGAUAAGACCAUGUUCAGGCAGCACAAGGUCUGCAGGCAGACAUCCUCAGAUGAUCUGACAUUAGUGGAAAAUUAGGAGAGCUUUUCAGCAUCCUAAUGCUUGUGAGUAGGAACAGCAGGCUUCAAAGCUAAAUAGGAGUUGAGAGGAGCUGUUAAGUGCUCGAUUAGAUGUGCCUCCCUUACACUGUUUUGGGUGGACAGAUAGCAGGCACUGUAUUCAUGAGCAGUCAGGAUGAGUUUCUGUAGUUUUCCACUGCUGAAAAACUCUCAGGGAUCCCCCCAGGAUUCCCUGGUGAGUCAUGUGGCCCAUGUGCUGUUCAAUAGAAGCUUAGGUAAAUUCCUUAUUAUCAUUCAAUUCCUGGGGAGUUUCUUGUCUUGGACAUUGAAGCGAAUGGCCAAGAGUGGCAGAGAGCGACCACAAUGUACUCAAACACCAGACAUCAUUGCUUGCAUGCUGCAGAGUACUGGCUAUUCUUGUAUUAGAGCAUUUGAUUGAAUGUCAUGUUGAUGGGUGUAAUGUUUUCCUCCCUCCUGUAACUGGUUUGCACCGUAUAGAAAUCAAAAUCCACUUUUGAAAUCACUCUGGACACUGCCUGUUGUAAUGGAGCUGCGUAUGGGAUGAUGCACAGCACCUGUGUGGCUUUCUGCUCCUAUGGAGGAGUCAGCACCAUGCAGGAUGGGGCCUGCGGUGGCAUCAGUUACCGAGGAAACUGCCUCUAUAGAAGUGAAACACGUUUCUAUUAGCAACAGCAGCUCCAGCAUGUGUGUUAGAGCAUUUAAACACCUCAUUAUUGAACUGCAUUUGUUUGUGGGCUUUUACACGUCUGCAUACUGUACAGUGUGAGGUGAGAAAGUGGGCAAGUAGUGGAGCAGGAGGGGACCACAUGCACCUGGGAGGGAACUGGCGAGCUGCACACACCAGCAGAGCAGGACCAAUCUUAGAAAGGCAGGGCACUGCUGCCCUGUCUUGGGCACUACAUAGCACCCCAAAUGGGGAAACACUGACCCCAUAAGGAGGGAUUGGGUGCAUGAGGUGCAGUACUGUGAAGUGAGUGCGUGGCAGUGAGGAGCAGCUUUUAUCCACUGAAGCAAAGAUGAGAGGCAUGGCUCUCACCUGAGAAAGCAGUUUGGGAAGGUUUUUUUCCUAUUUACUCCGUGUCCCAAGAAGACUUUUAAAUUUCCUUUGGAAAAUAGGCUGCAAUCACACAGGGAAAUGGUGUGUGAAAGACUGGGGCAGUAAUCGCCCAUGAAAUGAACAUCCAAAGUGAGAUACAGACUAUAGGAACGUGUUUAAUGUGAAAGUUGAGUUCCACUGCCAGAAAGGUUGCAUCUACAAGCAGGUGUGCUCUCAUUAAAGGAAACAAGCCCAUGUAGCUCAGAGGGUGCAGGUGGUGAAAUUAAACUGCAGUUCAUCUCAGGUUCUGACUUCUCCUCGCAUGCAGACGUCGCUCCCACUGAGCUGAACUGUCAUUUUCCGCAGUAGAGAAACUGACUCCAAAAGUAGUGCCGAGUGCUGACAGCUCAUUAGGUGCUGUUGUUUGGUAGCUCUCAGCAAGUCAUAAAAGCAGAGCCAAACUUAGGGCAGCUCAGGUAGGGAGAUUAACAUUGAUAUCUGAAGCUGUCAUUCCCCCACAUUGUAUUUAUGUUGGGCACUUCUGGAUACUUCUGGUGCAUCCUUCCCAGCUGGCAUGGCUCGCUCGCUACCAGGCUGACCCAGGGUGCCAAACUGUGUUUUGUUCUUCACAGAAUCAUGGAAAUGGGUUGGAAGUGACCCUUGAAGGCCAACGCCCCUGCAAUGAGCAGAGAUGCCCAAGCUCAGGCUUGUGGUUUCGCAUUUUAUUUUAUAUUUCUUGUGGUUUUAUAUGUCAUUUUGUUUCCCUGAGAGGGGGAGAGGCUAAACCCAUUUGUGUACUGUCAUGGUUGCAACAUGCGACUUUCAAACAGCAAAUCAGUUCCCUUUGUGUAUUACUGGGUCAGCCAUAAUGAAGCAAGGGGCAAGGAAUGCAUCUGAGCCCUUCUGCUUGUGGAUGACAGAAAUAUCUCCAGGGCAAAGCCAGGAGGAGUGUAAUCAUGCUGCUGUACCCACCUCUAAUCGCCUUCAUUCUCUGCAGUGAGAAGGUACUGGUGCUGCUGAGACCCACCUGCCUGCAAAUCUGCUUCUCCCGAGCCACCUAAUGUUGAUGAAUUACUAUAAAUGCGCUUAUAAUUACUUGCCUAAUUAUAAGUGCCUUCACAAAUGAUUUUGCUAGUGCUUAAUGGAAAUAAAGUGAAACAUGUGAAGCUAUAGUAAUGGAAAUAUAGAGCAACAUGAUAGCAUGGCAUUAACAAAUCCAAAGCUGACUGGUGUGAUAUUGGUGUCUCAAGAUCCCAUCCAUGGGUGGGCAGGCAGGAGACAUAGUCUGACUGUGCAGCAGUAUAGGGUGCAAAGAGGGGAAGAGGCACAGGGAGGAGGCAGAGCAUGGGAACAGUGCAGAGGAGAGAAACAAUGAAGGGCACGAAGCCUUUUAAUAGUAUCAUAGAUCACCCCAUUUUGGAAGGAAUCCAUAAGGAUCACUGAGCCCAACUCCUGGCUCUGCACAGAAGCGUGGCACCACCAGAGAAAAUACACAGGUGGCUGUGUUUUUCCAUCGGCUUGCUAUUUUUUCUGUAACUGUUUUUUGUUGUUCUUUGCUGCCAGGUGCUCUGAACAAGGCCUCUGUUUUCUUUGUCUUUUUUUCUUCUACUAUGAAUUGGGAAUUGCAGAGCAGUCGUUUCUGAAUGAAGACGUUUCACUCCAACAUUUUGGCUUGCCUGGAGUACAUUGAGUGAAGAGGAAUUGUCCUUGGCCACCUAUAACAUCUAUAAUUGGUUAAUGCAUCUUUGCAAUCACCUGAGCCUGUGGAAACCUCAUAUCUCAAAAUACAUGACCUGAUUCUCAACCUCGUGGUCUACAUCCAUGCUAAGGAACACCAGCCCCACUGCCAGCUCUGGGCACUCAGCUCAGCCUUGCUGACUCCUGUUGCCUUUUCUUCACUCUGGGAAUUGAUUUUCCUGCCAAGGCAACCCAAGAUGACGAGGCAGAAGCUAUGGCAGCAUUGUUCUCAUCCUGAGAGCCAAGGCUGGAUGUGUUCCUCCUGACACUGCCCUGAAGGAGACAGUGGGAGUGCCAGAGCAGUGCUGUCACCUGCCCCAGGUCUGUGGUGACAGUAAAUCUCCCAUGGAGAGUUCCUCCUGGGGCAGGACCAGAGCAGCCAUUCGGCACUGCUGUCUGUCGCUCCUUGCUUUUGCAGAGGUGAAUGAGGGUUUGAUUCGAAACCAGCCUGCUGACAUAUUGUGAGCCCUUCAUUCCUUGAGCCUGUCCCAGCGGGGACCAUGGAGCCUGGGCUGGCUGCUGGCUGCUCUUUGGCCCAUGGGAGUCCUCAUGAAAGAAAGGCAGGAGUAUCUUUCUUAUGCAUGCUGCUCAAGGUGUUGUCCACAACUGACCAAAAUCCAUGGAGAGAGGCAAUAGUUUUGCUAGCCCAGACGGAAGUUCUUUCCUUGGGACACACAGAAACUCUUGCUCGUAGAAUUGCACCAGCCUAGCUACACCACUACUUCUCUCAUUCCCAUAUAAGUAUGAUCUAUGUAAUGAUUUUGCUGUUUCCCCAUUGGUGUGGCUUAUUUUUACUGUAGCACUCUAUCUAUUUCUGCUACUGUGAAGCAAAUCCUUCUGAUGCUGGACCAGAGAAGAAGCCCCUGAGACAUAAUACAAAGGUGAGCUUAGCUCCUUCUUAACUGCAUGGUCAGUCACUGGCAUAGGCUGCCCAGGGAAGUGGUGGAGUCCUCAUGCCUGGAGGUGAUUGAGAACUGUGGAGAUGUGGCACAUGGAGACAUGGUCAAUGAGUAUGGUGGGGGUAAGUUGGUGUUGGAUUUGGUGAUUUAGUGGUCUUUUCCAACCUUAACGAUUCUAAAUACACAGAAUGAUUCUAUACACAUCAUCAGGAUUGAUGGUCAUAUUUGUAAAUCUAACCCUUACUAAUGUUCAAAUAAAGGCUACAAUAUGCUUGGUACACAACCCUACAGGUCUUCCAGGAGAGGACUACUCUGCUGAGCCUGCUAGACUUCCAUCCUGCCCUCUCUGGGUUGAUCACACAACUGACGCAAAUGCCAGUAAGAAACAAGUGAAAAAGUUAGUAGAAAAAAAAAGAAAAUUAAAAAAAUGUGAAUUAUUCAGGUUUAUAUCAGAGAGGAAUCAGCAGAGUGCAGUAAAAUUGGAGUGUCAGAGGAGAGAGCAGCAGAAAAGCAUGAGUGUGUUUCUCUGUAUAUGACAUAAAGAGGUUGCAAGGGACUCCUAGGGGACUCUUUUUGGGAAUAUGAAGUCUGGACAAAAUAAUGUAGUAAUGAGACUAAUCCAAUGCCACAGAGGAAACAAGUGGCACUGAAAAUUCUUCAGGCUCCUGUGGUCUGGCAGAUUCAAGUUUUCAACCACAAAGUUCUUAAAAUCCCAAGUCUCUAAGAUCAAGAGGUGGUAUUAAUCACAAGUUUGCCAAGGGCAUAGAUCCAGGAAUCACAACUGCCUUCGUCAGCCCCUGUACCAGAGGGGAUUAAAGAAAAAUGAGUUUACUGGAGGCACUGUGGAGUUAGCACAAAUCAUCCUGGGGAGGAAUCUGUCCAUAAAUGGUACCUCUGUGCAAACAAAUAGAUUGGAAGAGAAAGAGCUAGGCAAAAACUGCAGCUUGUGCACAUGGCUUUGUUGAUCUUUCUGUGCCAGUGAAUGCCAUGUAAGAAUGUUUCCCUGGAGACCACUGAGGGCAUUGUAGGUAAAUUCACCUUACUUGAGAUCACAGAGACCUCUGCAGACUCGUGGUAUCCACCCUACUAAUCUUCCUGUUUCUCUUGUUAAAAAUCCACAGCAGGGAAGAAAUUGCUGUGUCUAACUGACACUCACCAUUUAUGCUGAGGGAAUAUCCAUCUGUUUCAGCCAUCCAAAUCUAUUCUCUAUUUUGUUAUCAUUUUCCAUUUCUAUGCUUUGUGAAAUGCAAUGGGUGGUGUUCUCACUUAUUUUUCCCAACUGGCAAUUGCUUUGCAGAUCAAGCUGCAAGCAGUCCUAUGACUUCCUGACAUGGCAGGGUUAUGAAAGUCCUGCCAAAGUGUCAUGCAGUCUCUGCUGUGAAAUCUGACAACUGAAGAGGUUUCAUCCCAGUCCUAGUAGUGAUGAGUUUUGAUUCCCUGUUAAAUGCACUUCUAUUUUGGCUCUGAUAGGUACCAACAAAAUAAAUGAAAUCUGCAAUCCUCUGUGCAUAUGGGAGGGCAUUAGAUGAUUCAUUGGCUUCCAGUGUGCUAACAGGAUCCUUUGCACAUCCUGUGUUGCUUUAACGGGUAGUUUCAGCUGUGGGAUCAUUGCUAUAUUUUGUAGUUUUGUUCUAUCAUUAGCUGUUAAAGGAAUAGAAGACCACAGAUAGCUUGGUAUUAAACUACAAGUUCUUGUUUUUAUUGGCACCACCUGGGGAUUAAAACAGAUGCUGUCAUGCUGCACAGUUAGCCUCAAAGCAGGGGAGAUGUAAUGAUUAUGUGAUCAAAGCACCUCGCUUCAUUCAAUUGUGUAAUAAUUACAAAUGGAAACAUUCUAAACAAGCAACAUUGGCUAUGACACACACAGAAAGGAAAACCCAGUCCCCAAAGCCUGUAGUGAGUGUUUCAGGGAUGGCAAACCUUCCACAGCUUCUUCUGAGGAGGAAACCUGGGUAAAAGCUGCUGCAGAUGAUCCUGCAGUACCUUAUGGGCCAUGAAAAUACCCUGUAGUUACCAAGAGGGUAAUAUUGUGAAUGCCACAUAUUCACAAUGACCAGGUCCAUAUUUAUAAUAAAACCAUUUCAGUGACCUUUUGUGACCAUUUCAGCUCAUUCUGCUGUGACUGGUGUGCGUAUUCCUGCCUCCCUAAAGGCUGACUGGACAUCUUCAUCCAAAGGAAGACGUAUUUACUUGGAAGAUGAAAGUCAAGGGAUGUUUUCUAGUCACUUCAGGCACUGAGCUGUUGGUGCACAGUUUAAGAAGUUGCCCUUGAGGGCUUUUGGACCUUGUCCUCCUUUCCCUCCUGCCACUGCCAGAUAUGGAUUGGAGCAUCACCUGAUUGUGCUGUUCUUAUAUUAAGGAUAAAACCAAAUCAUACUGUUUUUUUAAAGAAGAGCUGCAGAACAUGAACGUCCUAAUGCAAGAGGUUGGGGAAACAUGAUGGAAAAUGCAGCUUUGGUGCCAUGCCUGGAUAACAGCAAGGGUAUUAAUAAGCACACAAGACACGGCCAGAUACUGCUGAAAGCCACGAGCUGGAUUGCUUCUCAUAAAUGCCUUCAGCGUCUGCUCCUUGAACGAAAUUGGCAGCUCCUUUUUGGCUGAGGGCUGGCCUGCUUAUCAUCUCCAAAAGCUUCAGGUUUUAUGAUGCUGUGAGAUGUGACAAGGAGAUGGUGAUGCUCAGGGACCUGGGAAGAAAAGCGACCAGAAUGGAAGUCUCUGAGAUGUGAGCUCACGUGGCUGUGAGGUUGGGCAGAUGAGUGUGGCAGCUCUCUGAAGGAUUGUACUUCUGGCCUGGAAGGCUGCAGUAUGUGUGGACCAAUUGCCCAGAGUGAGGACCAGUGGCUACAGCAGGGAAAUUCAUCUCAGCACCAGAUCCCUCAUCCCUCCUGCUGGUCUCCUUUUGAAGUUCUAGAAAACGUGAUGCUCUUUCAUAGCAAAUUCCUGCAUGCAGAGCAGGGCUGUGCUGCUUUGCUCACCCCACCAUUCUCAGGGCAGCUGAUGGGACUUGGCUGUGCCCUACAUCACUCUACAGAGCUCCUCAUGCUGCGUUGCCAUUCGUGCUGACCACAGCAUGCACAGAUGCGAUACUCAGCACCAGGAGAACACUUCCUUCUGCAUCACAGGACCUUAGGAGCAUCGCAUUACAUCUAAAUAUGCAAAAUCAGGGAGUUGUUUUUGUCCAAAGCACUCAGCAAACCCAGCCUGCUUCUACCAGUGCUACUGAACAAAGUUGGGUGAACCCUGUAAACGCUUUCUGCAGAUACUUAUUCAUGUUCUGUGAUGGUUGUAUUCAUAUCCUUUAUAUGCUGGUGGUGGGGAUUUUUGUUUGUUUGUUUGAUGAGUUUUGGGUUUUUUUUUGUUUGUUUUGUUUUGUUUUUUUGCUCAUGCCAUUAUGAUUUGUGGGCCCAGGGGUGCCUCAAAAGAAAACAAAAAAUAUAUACCAAGAUUUCAUACCUGGUAAUUGGAAAAUAAGGAAUUUUUAUAUGUGUAUCUAUGAGCUGCAGCCCUAAAUGGGCCUGCACGUUUAGCCAGUAGAAAAUAGGGAAAGAAACAGGUGAAAUAUUGCUUGAUUUCUCAUAAGGAAAUAACAUAGCUAAGGUGGAUAAAUUAUUGCAACCAAUGUAGGCAGUAAAAACUACUACAAGCUGCUUUCAUUAAAUACACGCAAAGGAAAUAGAGAUUGCUCACAGAUGGUCAUUAAAGACAAGGAAGUUGAAGUUUUUAUAGAAAUGAUUCACUGUUAAUUAUUAAUUCAGCCCUAGUUUGGGACUGAUAUGGCCUUGACUCUCUGUAAGAAUUGUAUUUCAAUGGUGCUCCAAUUUUGCAUACGGAAUAAACAACAACUUCCUUGUUCUUUUAACAUUUUCAUUAUCGAUAAUAAUUAUGCAUCCUGUGUUCAUAACCCAGUUUCUUAUCUUACCUCAAUUUCCUGAUAAGAGUUGUUUAUCAUGGCUAUUAGCAUAUUAAGCAGCACCACCACCAUGGUCACGUUGUAUACUCCAUAGAGUACAUAUCCAAUAUUCUCAAUGAAUUUAUGAUCGUACUUCAGCACCACAGAUAUCACUUCAGAUAAGCCAAAUAUUGACCAGAAUAAGGUUUUAAAACUUUCUUCUACCCUAAAAAUAAAGAAAAUGGUCGCUUUAUAGAGUUGGUAGCAAAUCAGCCAGAACAAAUGCUUAAUAAUAAAAGUGGCAACCCACCAAUAUAAAUAUGAUGCCUUGGCACAGUAAUUACAAGCAGUUAUCCAUCACCCUGGGAGAUGCCAGAUUAAAUGUCCUAAUCUAAUAAAGAAAUAAUACUUCUAUGAAUAUUAUAAAGUGGCAGCGACCCCUUAUGAGCUCCAUCUGCUCUUCUCAGGUGUGUUAUUUGUCAUUUGGCUUUUCUGUCCCUAUUAAGGACUCCUCUAUGGGCCGCUUGCAGUUUGGAACCUUUCGUAAGGGACUCAGAAGUUCUUACUUCACCACCUAUUCCUCAUCUGGAGAAGACAAGCAGAGAUUACCUGGGAGAAGGAAGAGGGAACUUAUCUUGACUGCCUUAUAAGGGAUUUCCAGGGCAGAAGAAAAGCAUCAUUUUCUGCACAAAAGGAAUCUGUGAGAAGUUCUGACUUGUGGCGUGAAUGUAACCAGUGCACCAUGCAAAUAAAGUCAUCCCAUGGUCUGAUUUUCUUCCUAUCCUGCUUUGGGACCACACACAAUUCAGGCACUCAGACUUGUAAAAAAAUAAAAAAUAAUAACUUAAGUUCCUAAACAAUUUGAAAUUAAGGAGUAAUAGAAGAUACUACAGGAGCAUUUAAAUUUGAUUAUUACAUUUACUUGGAGGUAGAAAGGAAUCAGAGGAAAAUAAAACGCUGAAAAGAAAAAGGAGAAUAAGGUAAUGACAAAGAAAUUGAAAAAAUGCAAGUGAACUAGUGGAUCAAAAACAGAGCUUAACUCAGAGGAGUCAAAGCUGCACCAGGCAGAAAGAAAGCAGCCCCAGACAGAAAUGAAGGAAGGAGGAGGACGAGGAAGAAUGUUGGUAUGUUUUGUAAGAACUUUGCUUAGAUUUCAAGUUGAAAGAAAAUAAUGCCUUUACUCGCAUCCCAGGAGGUAAAUGCCCUCUAAGAAAACAAA